rnacentral:rRNA from 1 species
UAAUACGGAGGAUUCGAGCGUUAUCCGGAUUUAUUGGGUUUAAAGGGUGCGUAGGCGGCACGAUAAGUUUGAGGUCAAAGGCUAUUGCUUAACAAUGGUACGCCUUGAAAACUGUCGAGCUAGGAAGUAAACGGCGCAGGCGGAAUGAAUCAAGUAGCGGUGACAUGCAUAGAUAUGAUUCAGAACACCGAUCGCGAAGGCAGCUUGCGAGGAUACGAUUGACGCUGAUGCACGAAAGCGUGGGUAUCGAACAGGAUUAGAUACCCUGGUAGUCCACGCUGUAAACGAUGAUAACUAGAUGUUGGCGAUAUACAGUCAGUGUCGGAGCGAAAGUGCUAAGUUAUCCACCUGGGGAGUACGAUCGCAAGGUUGAA